GCCUCGGUAGCUCAAUUGGUAAGAGCGUUGGCACAGUAUGCCAAACGUCCGAGGUUCGAGUCCUGGUCGAGGCU